rnacentral:rRNA from 1 species
UACGUAGGGGGCAAGCGUUGUCCGGAUUUAUUGGGCGUAAAGAGCGUGUAGGCGGCUAGAUAGGUCCGUUGUGAAAACUCGAGGCUCAACCUCGAGACGUCGAUGGAAACCAUCUGGCUAGAGUCCGGAAGAGGAGAGUGGAAUUCCUGGUGUAGCGGUGAAAUGCGCAGAUAUCAGGAAGAACACCCGUGGCGAAGGCGGCAUCCUGGACCGGCACUGACGCUGAUGAGCGAAAGCCAGGGGAGCAAACGGG